AGGACAUGUAUACUCCAAGUUAAGAUUUUUUAAAAAAAGAUGGAGAUCAUCUGAAAUAAAAUUCAGAGCUCUUGCCUUUCCUUUCUCCUAGCGACACCUAGAGCCUGUUGAGAAAAAAACUGCACAUUGUUCUCACUCCAAACAUCCACAAUUCAACAAUUUUAAGUCAGAUUUAAGGAUAAUCACCACCACCACCGCUGGGGGGAAAAAGUGUCUAGGAGAAGUAAGAAGAGGAACGAAGGAGAGGCAUUUGAGU
rnacentral:lncRNA from 1 species